UAAGUAGACAUGAUUUAUUUAUUUUUUUAACCCUCAUUUUCUCGAGAUCACGAAUUAAUUUUGAGACAACGCCGGGAUCACGAGAAAACUAUCUCGUGAUCUUGGGAAGACAGGGGUUAAAAAAAAAAAAACAUGUCUGCUUA